rnacentral:piRNA from 1 species
CCAGGGCACCAGAGCAGUCUACCCGGA